GUUUUCUGUUAGACCAACGGAAGCUGAUUCACCAGCUCUUCCAGCAGGCAUUGAAGUUCUACCAAUCCAAAUUUUCCCACUCAUAAAGGUCCCUGUCGUCAGAAUCACUGACGGUGCAUAGAAGUUCAUUCCGAAGAAAGUACAGACCCCCUCAACGUUGUCAUUUUUCCCCAACAAAAUAUCUGUUACCAUUGCCUCUCUGAUAAAGAGGUUUGGGGUGCU
rnacentral:misc_RNA from 1 species